CAGCCGCCGCGGGAAUACGUAGGUGGCAAGCGUUGUCCGGAAUUAUUGGGCGUAAAGGGCUCGCAGGCGGUUUCUUAAGUCUGAUGUGAAAGCCCCCGGCUCAACCGGGGAGGGUCAUUGGAAACUGGGAAACCUGAGUGCAGAAGAGGAGAGUGGAAUUCCACGUGUAGCGGUGAAAUGCGUAGAGAUGUGGAGGAACACCAGUGGCGAAGGCGACUCUCUGGUCUGUAACUGACGCUGAGGAGCGAAAGCGUGGGGAGCGAACAGGAUUAGAUACCCCAGUAGUCCCUGUCUCUUAUAA
rnacentral:rRNA from 1 species